GACGAACGCUGGCGGCGUGCUUAACACAUGCAAGUCGAACGGUGAAGCGCCUUCCUUUUUGGUGGGUGUGGAUGAGUGGCGAACGGGAGAGCAACACGUGAGUAACCUGGACCCUUCUUUAGGAUAACCGCAUGAAAGCGUGGCCAAUACGGGAUCUCCUGGGUCUGUGGCGUGAUGGGUCUGGGUAGGAUAUUGUUUAGGGGGUGGAUGGGCUCGCGGCCUAUCAGCUUGUGGGGGGGGUGAUGGCCUAUGAAGGCUGUGACGGGUAGCCGGCCUUGGAGGGUGGCCGGUCAGACUGGGAGUGAGGCACGGCCGAGACUGCUACGGGAGCCAGCAGUGGGGAAUAUUGUACAGUGGGGGCAAUCGUGAUGCAGCGGGGCCGCGUGAGCGAUGAAGGCGUGCGGGGUGUGAACGUCUUUCGCCAGUGAAGCAGGCCUGCCUCUUUUGUAGGGGGAUUGACGGUAGCUGGUUAAGAAGCGCCGGCUAACUACGUG
rnacentral:rRNA from 1 species